AACGAACGCUGGCGGCAUGCCUAAUACAUGCAAGUCGAACGAGAUCUUCGGAUCUAGUGGCGCACGGGUGCGUAACGCGUGGGAAUCUGCCCUUGGGUUCGGAAUAACUUCUGGAAACGGAAGCUAAUACCGGAUGAUGACGUAAGUCCAAAGAUUUAUCGCCCAAGGAUGAGCCCGCGUAGGAUUAGCUAGUUGGUGGGGUAAAGGCCCACCAAGGCGACGAUCCUUAGCUGGUCUGAGAGGAUGAUCAGCCACACUGGGACUGAGACACGGCCCAGACUCCUACGGGAGGCAGCAGUAGGGAAUAUUGGACAAUGGGCGAAAGCCUGAUCCAGCAAUGCCGCGUGAGUGAUGAAGGCCUUAGGGUUGUAAAGCUCUUUUACCCGGGAUGAUAAUGACAGUACCGGGAGAAUAAGCUCCGGCUAACUCCGUGCCAGCAGCCGCGGUAAUACGGAGGGAGCUAGCGUUGUUCGGAAUUACUGGGCGUAAAGCGCACGUAGGCGGCUAUUCAAGUCAGAGGUGAAAGCCCGGGGCUCAACCCCGGAACUGCCUUUGAAACUAGAUAGCUUGAAUCCAGGAGAGGUGAGUGGAAUUCCGAGUGUAGAGGUGAAAUUCGUAGAUAUUCGGAAGAGCACCAGUGGCGAAGGCGGCUCACUGGACUGGUAUUGACGCUGAGGUGCGAAAGCGUGGGGAGCAAACAGG
rnacentral:rRNA from 1 species